CCUACGGGAGGCAGCAGUGGGGAAUAUUGCGCAAUGGGCGAAAGCCUGACGCAGCGACGCCGCGUGAGGGAUGAAGGUCUUCGGAUCGUAAACCUCUGUCAGCAGGGAAGAACGGUCACUGUGCUAAUCAGCAGUGACUUGACGGUACCUGCAAAGGAAGCACCGGCUAACUCCGUGCCAGCAGCCGCGGUAAUACGGAGGGUGCGAGCGUUAAUCGGAAUUACUGGGCGUAAAGCGCUCGUAGGCGGUAUGUCAAGUCAAGGGUGAAAUCCCCGCGCUAAACGUGGGAACUGCCUUUGAAACUGGCAAACUGGAGUGUGUGAGAGGAUAGGGGAAUUCCAGGUGUAGGAGUGAAAUCCGGAGAUAUCUGGAGGAACAUCAGUGGCGAAGGCGACUAUCUGGCACAUAACUGACGCUGAGGAGCGAAAGCGUGGGUAGCAAACAGGAUUAGAUACCCUUGUAGUC
rnacentral:rRNA from 1 species